rnacentral:rRNA from 1 species
UCGAGGAUCUUCGGCAAUGGGCGCAAGCCUGACCGAGCGACGCCGCGUGCGGGAUGAAGGCCUUCGGGUUGUAAACCGCUGUCAGUAGGGAGGAAAUGCCGUGGGGUUCUCCUCAUGGUUUGACCUAUCUGCAGAGGAAGGACGGGCUAAGUUCGUGCCAGCAGCCGCGGUAAGACGAACCGUCCAAACGUUAUUCGGAUUCACUGGGCUUAAAGGGUGCGUAGGCGGCCCGGAAAGUUGGGUGUGAAAGCCCUCGGCUCAACCGAGGAAUAGCGCCCAAAACUACCGGGCUCGAGGGAGAUAGAGGUAAGCGGAACUUAAGGUGGAGCGGUGAAAUGCGUUGAUAUCUUAAGGAACACCAGGAGCGAAAGCGGCUUACUGGGUCUCUUCUGACGCUGAGGCACGAAAGCUAGGGGAGCGAACGGGAUUAGAUACCCGCGUAGUCC